ACCUCCGUGGCCCAGUGGAUAAGGCAUUGGCCUCCUAAGCCAAGGAUUGCGGGUUCGAGUCCCGCCAGAGGUU
rnacentral:tRNA from 1 species